GAUGAACACUGGCGGCGUGCCUAAUACAUGCAAGUCGAGCGAACAGAUGAGGAGCUUGCUCCUCUGACGUUAGCGGCGGACGGGUGAGUAACACGUGGAUAACCUACCUAUAAGACUGGGAUAACUUCGGGAAACCGGAGCUAAUACCGGAUAAUAUAUUGAACCGCAUGGUUCAAUAGUGAAAGACGGUUUUGCUGUCACUUAUAGAUGGAUCCGCGCCGCAUUAGCUAGUUGGUAAGGUAACGGCUUACCAAGGCGACGAUGCGUAGCCGACCUGAGAGGGUGAUCGGCCACACUGGAACUGAGACACGGUCCAGACUCCUACGGGAGGCAGCAGUAGGGAAUCUUCCGCAAUGGGCGAAAGCCUGACGGAGCAACGCCGCGUGAGUGAUGAAGGUCUUCGGAUCGUAAAACUCUGUUAUUAGGGAAGAACAAAUGUGUAAGUAACUAUGCACGUCUUGACGGUACCUAAUCAGAAAGCCACGGCUAACUACGUG
rnacentral:rRNA from 1 species